rnacentral:rRNA from 1 species
ACACUUAGGAUGCUGGCGUAAUGGCUUUAAGUGGCCCGUCUUGGAACACGGACCAAGGAGUCUAACAUGUGUGCGAGUUUUUGGGUGGCAAACCCAUGAGCGUAAUGAAAGUGAAUGCAGGUGGGAUCCGCAAGGAGCACCAUCGACCGGCCCUGAUGUUCUCGGAUGGGUCUGCGUAAGAGCAUAUAUGUUGGGACCCGAAAGAUGGUGAACUAUGCCUGAAUAGGGCGAAGCCAGGGGAAACUCUGGUGGAGGCUCGUAGGGAUUCUGACGUGCAAAUCGAUCUUCAAAUUUGGGUAUAGGGGCGAAAGACUAAUCGAACCAUACUAGUAGCUGGUUCCCUCCGAAAUUUCCCUUAGGAUAGCUGCAACCGGUUAAGAGUUUUAUCAGGUAAAGCGAAUGAUUAGAGG